GUAUAUGAGGUGAUUAAUUGGAGGGCAAAUCGAGUGCCAGCAGCCGCGGUAAUACUUGUUCCAAGAGUGUGUAUGAUGAUUGAUGCAGUUAAAAAGUCCGUAGUUUAUUAUUAAGAAGCAAUAUGAGGUGUACUGUAUAGUUGGGAGAGAGAUGAAUUGUGACGACCCUGACUGGACGAACUGAAGCGAAGCUGUACACUUGUAUGUAUUUUUUGAACAAGGACGUAAGCUGGAGGAUCGAAGAUGAUUAGAUACCAUUGUAGUUCCAGCAGUAAACUAUGCCGACGAUGUGAUAUGAGAUGUUGUAUUACAUUAUAGAAAUUAGAGUUUUUUGGCUCUGGGGAUAGUAUGAUCGCAAGAUUGAAAAUUAAAGAAAUUGACGGAAGAAUACCACAAGGAGUGGAUUGUGCGGCUUAAUUUGACUCAACGCGAGGUAACUUACCAAUAUUUUAUUGUUCGGCGAGGAUAGAUCUGAGG
rnacentral:rRNA from 1 species